rnacentral:misc_RNA from 1 species
AAAUGCGAUAACUAGUGUGAAUUGCAGAAUUCCGUGAAUCAUCGAGUCUUUGAACGCACAUUGCGCCCCCUGGUAUUCCGGGGGGCAUGCCUGUCCGAGCGUCAUUGCUGCCCAUCAAGCACGGCUUGUGUGUUGGGUCGUCGUCCCCUCUCCGGGGGGGACGGGCCCCAAAGGCAGCGGCGGCACCGCGUCCGAUCCUCGAGCGUAUGUGGCUUUGUCACCCGCUCUGUAGGCCCGGCCGGCGCUUGCCGAACGCAAAUCAAUCUUUUUCCAGGUUGACCUCGGAUCAGGUAGGGAUACCCGCUGAACUUAAGC